GGGCUGGAGGGGGAGACGGACGGCGGAGCCAGGCUAAGGGCGGCAGUGGAGCCGCCGCGUAAAGCAGAGUCAGACCUCCCGGGUGGGCGAGGCUGGGCGGCAGCCCCACUCGGCUUCCCUGCCCCGCGCCAGGACGCUUGGCUGGGUGUCAGUCGCGCCCGGGUGCACUCCGCGCGCCGUGGGCGCCAUUGUUUCCUCAGAUUCGGUGCCCUCUCCUCAGGGGCACAGGGAAGCCGGAGGGUGGGCGGCGCUGCGCCUCACCAGCUAGGGGGCAGCCGCCGCCCGACCCCGCCCAGCCCUGCCUCAGGGCCCAGGUGCUGAGGAGGGGCUGGAAAUUAGGGGUCGGGUGGCCCCUAUCUCUGAACAUCCCGAGGGAGCGAGAAGAGUGGCGGGGGAGGGGAUGCCCUCACAGCACCCGCUCCCGACCGCCGGCCGCCGCGCGCGCCGCCCUCGAGCGCCUGCCCACCCCUCCCCCACCCCCUCAGCGGCGCGUCCUCGGCCCCCACAGCCGGCGCUGAGGGCUUUUCCAGAACUGCUGCGUGAGGCGUGUGCGGAUACGAAGAGCAAGGACAUUUCAGGGAACAAACAGGGCGACUGCACUCAGCUUGGACUCCCGGAGCCUGGCUGGAACCGUGGCCCAUCAUUAAGAAUAGACUGGAUGGCAAAUGCUCAUUCCUUUCAUCAAGCUGUCAUCAAUUUGUCAGAAAUAAGAUGAAAUCGAUUGCUCCCAGAAGGCCAUUUGAGCCACUAACUUCCUCAAAGUACUUCAGACUGAUGCACUAUAUGGAGAUUCAGGUGACUCUGGCUAUUGCAUGUAGAAUGGGUUCUAAGUGGAGCAAGGGAGGAAAUGAAGAGAACAGCUAUGAUCAAAGUGGAAGGAAUGGAUGAAAUUGCUGAGGACAUUGAGAAAGGAGGCUGAGGACAGAAUGUUGAGGGACCUUUAAAGCCUUGAUCCUCAGGAUGAGCCAACAAAAGACCUUGAGAAUGAAUAACUGAAGAGGUAGGUGGAAAACCAGGGCAGUAGAUUGUCCUCAAGGCCAAAUAGAAGAGGGAUUUGUAAAAGGAAGUGUUGGACAAGAGCUGAACAUUGUUGAGGGUUCCUGUUGGUUGAGAUUGGAAUGCAGUUGGACUUAGCGAGUUGAUGGCUCCUGAGAGUUGACUUUAUCGAGAGUGAGUGAGGGAGGAACAGGAUUAGGGACCAUAUUGCAAUAGACUGAGGAGUCAAUGUGACCAGAGAGACAGGACUAAAGAUAAUUCUCUCUGAAAGUUUCUAGUGAAGGGGAGGAGACAGACAAUAGCUCUGGAAGGAAGAGGUGAGGAGGGAGGUUGAUUGUUUUUAUUAUCUUUUUUGUUUUCUUUUAAGAUCUGGUACUCAUGAACAUUCAUAAAGGCCUGAUAGGUAGAACCUGGUAUUGGGGGCAGUGUUGAGAUUAAAGCACAGAAAAAAUAAUCAGGGUGCAAAUUGCCUGAGAAGCAGGAGGGAAUACAGUUUAGAACCAAAGUGCCGAUGGAUU